CCAUAACUGACCUGCACUGGGGGGAAUGGAGUUAAUUUAAAGUAGCUGGAUCAUCUAUCACUAUGUUUUCAUACAAGGGAUUUCCAAGAGAAAAGAAGCUCAGAAAGUAAACGGCAGCCUUGAAGUCUUUUCCUUCAACGAGGUAUCUCCCGUGACUAUGUUAAGACUGUACAAGACGUGAUGAUGGAUCCAACAGCACAGAUAAUGAUCGGAUUAUUCAGUAAUCUGCUGUCAUUAUCAAAUACGUGGGGAGCCAAUGAGUACAGUCAGCAAAAUGUCAGUGUGGUGAGGUUUUUGACAUUGCAUAGCAG